GCGUCGAGGAGGAUGUAACCGGAACCACAACUCAUGUAUUUACGUCAUGCUGACACGCAGGGCUGGUAUGUUUACGUCAUGCGAUAUUGCAUUGUGCGUUUCGCCAAACUGACUAAUCCCCGCAUCAUGCUGACUAUAUAAUAGUGUAACAAUAAUAGUGGUAAAAAUAAUGUCCAUCAUUGUUUCGCUUUUUAACCAAUGAAAACGAGGCCUGGGGAAUGACGAAGCACCCGCCCUUCAACUAUAAAGCCAACGUAACAAAUACAGUUGAUAACUGAUGUGCAUUUUAACAGUGGUCAUCUAUCUUGUUUUAAGAUGUCGAAGAGUAGAGUAUUUGUGAUUGGGGCUAGUGGUAAUGUUGGCAAAGCUACAAUAAAUGCACUUGCAAGAAACUACGGAGAGAAGCUUCAUAUCAGAGCUGGCGUGCGAAACCCUGAGAAAGUUGCUGAAUUUACAUCCCUUCAAGGCGUCACAGUCGUGCGAGCGGAGAUGGGCAAACGAGAUGAGCUUAUUGAGAUCUUCAAAGAUGUCGACGUACUGUUUAUUGUCGUGCCAGGCGCUGG